rnacentral:rRNA from 1 species
CAUGCAAGUCGAGGGGUAUGGUUCUUCGGAACCAGAGACCGGCGCACGGGUGCGUAACGCGUAUGCAAUCUGCCUUUCACAGAGGGAUAGCCCAGAGAAAUUUGGAUUAAUACCUCAUAGUAUAGCGACAUCGCAUGAUGAUGCUAUUAAAGUCACAACGGUGAAAGAUGAGCAUGCGUCCCAUUAGCUAGUUGGUAAGGUAACGGCUUACCAAGGCAACGAUGGGUAGGGGUCCUGAGAGGGAGAUCCCCCACACUGGUACUGAGACACGGACCAGACUCCUACGGGAGGCAGCAGUGAGGAAUAUUGGUCAAUGGGCGCAAGCCUGAACCAGCCAUGCCGCGUGCAGGAUGACGGUCCUAUGGAUUGUAAACUGCUUUUGCACAGGAAGAAACACUGAUUCGUGAAUCAGCUUGACGGUACUGUGAGAAUAAGGAUCGGCUAACUCCGUGCCAGCAGCCGCGGUAAUACGGAGGAUCCAAGCGUUAUCCGGAAUCAUUGGGUUUAAAGGGUCCGUAGGCGGUCUGGUAAGUCAGUGGUGAAAGCCCAUCGCUCAACGGUGGAACGGCCAUUGAUACUGCUGGACUUGAAUUAUUAGGAAGUAACUAGAAUAUGUAGUGUAGCGGUGAAAUGCUUAGAGAUUACAUGGAAUACCAAUUGCGAAGGCAGGUUACUACUAAUGGAUUGACGCUGAUGGACGAAAGCGUGGGUAGCGAACAGGAUUAGAUACCCUGGUAGUCCACGCCGUAAACGAUGGAUACUAGCUGUUGGAAGCAAUUUCAGUGGCUAAGCGAAAGUGAUAAGUAUCCCACC